rnacentral:rRNA from 1 species
UACGUAGGGGGCAAGCGUUGUCCGGAAUCAUUGGGCGUAAAGCGCGUGUAGGCGGCCACGUAAGUCCGCUCUGAAAGCCCGGGGCUCAACCCCGGGAGGCGGGUGGAUACUGCGUGGCUCGAGUCCGGAAGAGGCGAGUGGAAUUCCCGGUGUAGCGGUGAAAUGCGCAGAUAUCAGGAGGAACACCAAUGGCGAAGGCAGCUUGCUGGGACGGUACUGACGCUGAGGCGCGAAAGCGUGGGGAGCAAACAGG